GGGCAUUGAUUUACGAUCUCUUUUUAGAGGUCCGACCCCUUCAUUUCCAUACACUGUGCACACACUUCUUUUCACACAUUUUAACACUAUAGUAUAAGAAUGUAACAGUCUCUUUAUUGAGCAUAAAUAAAAAUAAAACUUUCAGCAACGGAUCUCUUGGCUCUCGCAUCGAUGAAGAACGCAGCGAAUUGCGAUAAGUAAUGUGAAUUGCAGAAUUCAGUGAAUCAUCGAAUCUUUGAACGCACCUUGCACUCUUUGGUAUUCCGAAGAGUAUGUCUGUUUGAGUGUCAUGAAACUCUCAACCCCCCUAUUUUGUAAUGAGAUGGGCGUGGGCUUGGAUUAUGACUGUUGUCGGCGUAAUUGCCGGCUCAGUUGAAAUACACGAGCAACCCAUUUGAAAUAAACGGUUUGACUUGGCGUAAUAAUUAUUUCGCUAAGGACGUUUUCUUCAAAAGUAAGAGGUGCUUCUAAUGCGCUAUUACAGCACUUUAAAUUUUAGACCUCAAAUCAGUCAGGACUACCCGCUGAACUUAAGCAUAUCA
rnacentral:rRNA from 1 species